CAUUCGUCCAGAUCUGCAAAGAUGUUGUGGUUACCACAGCUCAAAAAGGAUAAGGCUCAAAUUCUACCGUGAAAUUCUACUAAUUCGAACUAAUACUUUUCUACUGACAUUAUCCAAAAGAAUGAACGGUUGGGUUCAUUUAUUUCAACGAGAUUUGCAGAAGGCCAAUACUGCCACCAAGUACCACUGCCUACAUUGUAGAAUUCAAGCAUCAUCACACCACGUCUAUUGAUAACUAGAACUACGGAGCGAGAAAGUCGAAGGCGCAUUAAGAGAUAGUGAAGCAA